rnacentral:tRNA from 1 species
GCCUUAGCUCAGUUGGCCAGAGCAUCUGACUUGUAAUCAGAGGGUCGUCAGUUCGAAUCCGACAGG